rnacentral:misc_RNA from 1 species
GAUAAAGAACGCAGCGAAAUGCGAUAAGUAAUGUGAAUUGCAGAAUUCAGUGAAUCAUCGAAUCUUUGAACGCACAUUGCGCCCCCUGGUAUUCCGGGGGGCAUGCCUGUUCGAGCGUCAUUUCACCACUCAAGCCUCGCUUGGUAUUGGGCAACGCGGUCCGCCGCGUGCCUCAAAUCGACCGGCUGGGUCUUCUGUCCCCUAAGCGUUGUGGAAACUAUUCGCUAAAGGGUGUUCGGGAGGCUACGCCGUAAAACAACCCCAUUUCUAAGGUUGACCUCGGAUCAGGUAGGGAUACCCGCUGAACUUAAGCAUAUCAAUAAGCGGAGGA